rnacentral:tRNA from 1 species
CGGGGUGUGGCGCAGCCCGGUAGCGCACCUGCUUUGGGAGCAGGGGGUCGGAGGUUCAAAUCCUCUCGCCCCGACCA